rnacentral:rRNA from 1 species
UACGUAGGGUCCGAGCGUUGUCCGGAUUUAUUGGGCGUAAAGAGCUCGUAGGCGGCUCGUCGCGUCGACCGUGAAAACUUGGGGCUUAACCCUAAGCUUGCGGUUGAUACGGGCGGGCUAGAGUUCGGUAGGGGAGACUGGAAUUCCUGGUGUAGCGGUGAAAUGACGCAGAUAUCAGGAGGAACACCGGUGGCGAAGGCGGGUCUCUGGGCCGAUACUGACGCUGAGGAGCGAAAGCGUGGGGAGCGAACAGG